AUCGCUUCUCGGCCUUUUGGCUAAGAUCAAGUGUAUUAUCAGUGGAUUUUUACUACGGAUUUACACGGAUUUUACGCUGAAGAGAAUUGCUGCGCUUGGGCUUUUUUUAUAGCUUUUAGCGAGGCCAAGGGUGAUCCCAGGUGCAGAUCCGGGAGGCUUGUCCUCCGUUU
ensembl:snRNA U2 U2 spliceosomal RNA